CAAAAACAUGUUCAUCUUCAUCAUAAAAUUCAAAUUCAGGAGAAGCAAAAAUAUAAGAAAUUUUAAAAAAUGAGACGCAAAGAGUCAAAAAGCACAGCAAGAGAAGGGAAGAGGAGAGAGAGAGAAACUAUACAAAGCGUACACAUAACAUGACAUACACUCACAUGGUAGUUUUGAAGAGAGAGAUAGAAGAGGUACUUGCCAUCUGUUGUACCAGAAAGAGCACUAUUCGGGUUCUCCAAAGCCAAACCCACGCUUCUCUCUCUAUCUCUCUCUUUUCUAUAGUGCUUUGUUAACCUUGAUGAGGCUGAACAAAACCCGCCUUUUAGUUUUCUCUCUCACUUUUGAGCAAAACCCAUUCAAUUUUUUCAGCUUUCGUACCCUAAAUUGUAUCUGAUUGCUGAGCUCUGAUCCUCUUCCAAUGUUUAUUAUAAUAUGCAUUGUCAUGGGUAUAUCAUUAAUGGAUGUGAUUACUUGUGAAUAUAUCUAGCACCCUAUGAAGUUGUUGCAUGUCAUUUUGGAGAUCUAGUUUCUAUUGUGAUAGGCUUAUCUUGUGUUUGAACUUUGAAGUUAUUUGCAUAGCAAAGGAUAGAGACUGUGGGACUCUAGUCAGUUUGUAGUAAUGCUCAGCUCAACAAUUGAGGAUUUGAGUAAUGAUGGCUUUGGGGGUUCACAACAUGAGAAAUGUAUUUUUGCAGAAGUUUUCUUUGGAAAAGAUACUGGGGGCACAAGUAAAAGGAGUCAGGUUAGCGGGUUGAUUAAUUUUGAGUGCGAAAACAGUAAGAUUGCUGACACAUCAUUAUGUUCUAACAGUGAAAACUCAGCCCUGACAAGCCAAUGUUCCUCCAAGAGUUCACUAGUGGAUGAUUCUGAAAUGAAUGAGAAUUCUGGAGGAGCUUCUGCAUCAUGUUGUUUUCAAGAAAGAUUAGAUAGGGAUGACCAGAAUAUGAGUAUCAAGCGGAUGAAGUUUUCAGUUGAUGGUCCAUCCGGCACUGAACCAGAUACAGUAAAAAUUCUCACUUCAACUGUGGUACCUAAAGAAAUUGUUGAUGGUGUGCCUGCUGCAAAUAGAGAUUUGGCUGGUCAAACAACAGUGUUAUAUAUAGUUGAAUCAUCCUGUCAGGAUGCUGUGUCUAGUUGCUAUCUGUCAAAGCAACAAAUUAAAUUGGACAGAGUUGGUGAUGUAUGCGAUAAGGAUGUCUUGAAGUGCAGAUUGCCAAAUGCUGAUGGAAAUGCUGGCAAGGAGGUGGUUAUUUGUAAAGCUGUUGCUUCACCUGUUUCCCAAGAGAGCUUUGCCACCAGGCUUUUUCAUGCAAAACCUUCUGCGGCAAUUAUAGAGAAGUCUGGCUCUCCUAUUCGUGCUGAGGAAAGAUUGAAGGAAUUGGAUUCACCAGGAUUGGGUGUAUCCAAUUACUUGAAGACUGAUUCUAAGAAGGAUCCUCGUCCUUUUCUCCAGAGCCAUAUUGUUCGCAUACUUUUGGCGGCGGGCUGGUUUAUUGGAAAGCGUAAGAGACCUAGUCGGAAAUACUCGGAGACUGUUUAUCGUUCUCCUAGUGGGAGAAUGUUUCGUGAGUUUCCUAAAGUUUGGAGGUUGUGUGGUCAAAUUUUAUAUGAAGAUGGAUACAAAUUGGCGCAGGAAGAAAAUUUUAAGGAAUGGACUAAUAUCACUCAGUUUUGGUCUGAUCUCUCAGAAGUAUUGUUGAAUAUUGAGAAAGAAAUAGAUCAAACUGAUGUUGGUAAUGCGUUGGCUCAUCAGUGGAGUCUUUUAGAUCCCUUUGUUAAUGUUGUGUUCAUUGAUAGGAAGGUUGGUUUGCUGAGAAAGGGAGAUACUGUUAAAGCUGGGAAAGGUGAUACUGUUAUGGCCUUGAUGAAUGAUGAUAGUGCACUACACCAGUAUGCCGGGGGAAAUGUGCACUCUUGGCAUAGUGAUUCUUCUCUUGCCACUCAAAAUGCAUCAACAAUUUGGGAAGGAAACCAGCAUGCCUGUAUUCAGCAAUCUGGCGACAUAAGUUUCUCAAAAUAUGGUGAACAGACAAAUGGAUUUGUGAAAGGUCAUGAAAAUCAAUCUAUUUAUGUAGUUGAGAGAGAAGAAAUGUGUUCAGUUGAUGUUGCCAGUGGGAUUGGAAAUCAGUCUUUCAGAAUGUGCAAGGACAAAGUAAGCUGUCUGGAUAUGACUUCCUUACCACCUUGUGGAUCAGAAAGCACUUGUGUCCAGUUGUCUGGUUGCCAAUGUGAUGCCUCUGUUACUGAUGGAAAUGCUAACGUGCUGGGGGGAUCUGAAUCUGCUUCCCCUCAUCAAGAUAGCAGUUUGGUUGAUGUCGAUGAUCGAAGUGGUCACUUGGAUUUUUCUAAUGGCCAAGAUGAACCAACUUAUACUCAAUCUGUAAAUUUGGAUGUUGCACAGCAAACUGAGCUCAGUUAUGAGGAUGGACAGUGCAUUCAAGCUUCAAGUUUUAAAACCAAGGAUAAAACUGUUGUUGUGAAAAGGAAGACGCGCAGGAAGUCAAGAAAGAUAUCUGAGAUCAGAACAACUUUAUACCAAAGCAACCAUAUUCAUACAGAUGGCAACCAAUUGGAGCCAAAAGAAGUGAAGGAAAACCUUGUUGCCAAUUCAGGAAUUAAAACAAGCUGCAAGAAGUUGUCACCUGUUGCUACUUGCCUACGUCAGGCUGAUGGAAAAGGAUCAAAAUUAAAGAAGAUGCAUCAUAAUCUUGAUGCUUGUAAAAGAGGACAAAAGAGGCCAACUAGAUGCCUACUUAAGGAUGAUGAUCUCUUGGUGUCUGCCAUUAUUAAAAACAAAGAUUUCAGCUCAGGUGCUACCAAAUCUACUUAUAAAAGGAAGGCCUUCAAAUCAAGAGCUCAGAUAAAGCUCAAGAAUCAGAAAGGUGGCUGCAGUUUACUCCCUAGAAAUCUAAGCAAAGUGGGGAAGCAAUACAAUGAUGGCAAGUGGUCAAUAGGCGGAACUAGAACAGUGUUGUCAUGGUUGGUCCAUAAUAGGGUUAUAUCUGUCAAUGAUGUGAUUCAGUAUCGGAACCCCAAGGAUGAUGCUGUAAUUAAAGAUGGUCUGGUUACAAAGGAUGGCAUCAUCUGUAAGUGCUGCAAUACAGUGCUUUCGGUUUCUCAAUUUAAGAAACAUGCUGGCUUCCAGCUGAGUCGUCCAUGUUUAAAUCUUUUCAUGGAAUCUGGUAAGCCUUUUACUCUAUGUCAGCUGCAAGCAUGGUCAGCUGAAUACAAGACUAGGAAAAAGAGAACUCAAGUGGUGCGAGCUGAUGAUGAUGAUCAAAAUGAUGAUUCAUGUGGCCUAUGUGGUGAUGGUGGUGAGUUGAUAUGCUGUGAUAACUGUCCAUCUACCUUUCAUCAGGCCUGCUUGUCUACAGAGGAGCUCCCUGAAGGCAGCUGGUAUUGCCCAAACUGCACCUGUUGGAUAUGUGGGGAUUUGGUUAAUGAUAAAGAGGAUUCUAAUUCUUUUGGCGUAUUGAAAUGUUCACAGUGCGAGCACAAAUAUCAUGAAACAUGCUGGAAAAGGAAAAAUAUAUAUGAACAAGUGGCUUCUGAUACUUGGCUUUGUCGUGAAAGUUGCCGAGAGGUUUACUCAGGUCUUCAUUCUCACGUAGGAAUCAGUAAUCCUAUUGCAGAUGGCUUUUGUUGGACACUUCUUAGAUGCAUUCAUGAAGACCAAAAGGUUCAUUCUGCUCAACGAUUCGCCCUAAAGGCAGAAUGGAACUCAAAGUUAGCUGUUGCUCUUACUAUUAUGGAGGAAUGCUUUCAAUCUAUGGUAGACCCAAGAACAGGCAUAGACAUGAUACCUCAUGUUUUAUACAAUUGGGGGUCUGAAUUUGCUCGUCUAAAUUUUCAUGGCUUCUAUACUGUGGUCUUGGAGAAAGAUGAUAUACUUUUGUCUGUAGCAUGCAUCAGGGUACAUGGAGCAACUGUAGCUGAGAUGCCUCUUAUUGCCACUUGCAGUAAUUACCGUCGUCAUGGAAUGUGUCGACGCCUUAUGAAUGCUAUUGAGGAGAUGCUGAUAUCUUUCAAGGUGGAAAAGCUUGUUAUAUCUGCCAUUCCAGAUUUGGUGGAGACAUGGACAGAGGGUUUUGGCUUCACACCUGUGAGUAAUGAUGAAAAGCAAAGUCUGAACAAGACAAACUUGAUGGUGUUCCCAGGAACAAUAUUGCUAAAAAAACAAUUGCAUGGAACAAACAAGGCAGAUACACAAUCGGAAUUUGGUACUUGUCUUGUGGGUGAGCAUGGCAUUGAGUCCUUAGAGCAAUUUGAUAGAAACCGCUUUGUCCAUGAAGAUACUGUCAAAAUGGAUGCCAAACUAGCUGAGAUCCAGAAUUUGCAAGAAUCAGAAUUUAGUGGUGGAAGGGAAACUGCUGAUGCUGUUAAAGGACCAGGGCAUGCAUCACCCUCGGUGAGAAAUGAACCGACUAAAUUAGGUGUUUAUUCUGAUGAAGAGCCUCCUGUCGAGUCUAUAGAGCCUUCUGACGGAAAUUAUUACUCAAAUGAAGAUGCUGCUAAAUUGGAGGAAGAGAAAUUGAUAGUAGUGGAAAGCCAAGAUAGUAAUUUGCAGGAACAAUUUUCAAAGCUAUCCUGCGAAGUAGGAAGAAACCAGGCUGAAUUGGCUUGUAAUGUUCAAUCUGUAAAUGAUGAGCCUUCUUUGGACGGAAAGCUACAUCAGGUUUUUGAGAUAAAUGGGAAGAAAUAAAUUUGUAAAUUUUGAAAGUCGUGUUUGUUGCUUGCUGUGCCUGAGUGCAUGUACACACACACGCAUACACGGGCGAUUGAGGACGGGC
rnacentral:misc_RNA from 1 species